CAAACAUUCAUUUUGAUACAAAAUUAAUCAUUACAAUUAUAGAAGAAUGGUCAAAAUAAAACAGAUGCAGCAUCUUUCUUACAAUGCCAACAAAUGGCUACAAUCGCAUGAUUUAAAAGCAACAUUCGGUUUUGCUUCAAUAAUAAGUAUAUACAUGCAGCAACUAAUAAUGUCAAUUUUAUUGUUUUUCAAAACUGCACCAAUAUGUAAUUCACUAAGAUUUCAUUACAUCGGUUUCUUGUUACAGAUAUAUUCUGUUGUCUGGUUUACAAGUUAUUAGCUUUCUUGAAUUGCUAGCAUCGCAGAUUUCAUAAAACCUUUAAAUUCAAAGUUCUUCAUUAACAUAAUAAAUUUAAUACUAGAUUUCUAAACAUUUUUAUUUAUUGUAAGAUCUAACAGCAUCGGAAUUUAUAAUGAACUCAUCAAAUCAAUUAUGUCAUCACCACUAACUUGUAUUGCCCUGACACUUGUGCAAAUAUUCUGAUCUUCCUAUAUUAUCCAAUAUUAUCACCAGUCACCAUAUUAUCAGCAAAUUGACCAGAAUAUGUGUUCACUUAGUUGUUUGAAGUACUGUAGAUGCCAUGCAUCACUAUGAUUUUGAAUUGUGCUUUUAUCUGCAAAUUGUUUAAAAUUAAGAACCAAAUAUUUACUGGCAGCUCACAAGACUGAUACAUUGUAAAUGAUGCAGGUAUAAAUUUAACCCAUUAAGCGGCAGAGCUUCCCCAUUGACGGGUAAAAUCGUCUGGCAUUAGACAAGUAAAAGAAAUAAGUAGGGUGCACUGGGGGCCUGGGGCGCAUUGCAGCUCAUUAGGUUAAACAACACAUUUUACUGUGGCAAUAAAAGUAUGAACAUGCUACUCAAUUGACACUGCUGUUAUUAAGUGCUGAAAAGAAAUGUUGAAACUUGUCGACCUCAUCAUAUUAUGACUGUAGGUUUUCUUCAUAUAUACUCUCGCAACUGCAACGGUCAGUGUUUUAUUGUGAUUGCACUAAUUUUCAGGGACGUAGCAAAGCAUCUGAAGUUUGGG